GGAAGAAAUCCUUUUGAAAAAGGUGAUAGAAACAAUGAUGAAGUAGGCAGCUCCAGGGGGGUGGCAUGAAGACAAAUCAGACAGGCAUGGAGUGUUGGCCACGAGCUAGCUAUACUGGUUCUGCCCCUAGUAAAAUAUCAGUUACUAAAGGGCCAAAUCUAGGUGCUACACUGAAGAGUAAAAUACACUUUGAGGACCUUGCUGUAGUGGGCAAGUCUAGUGACAAACAUCCUAACGAGGAAAUCAUCCCGGCUGCAACAUAUGAAUCUGCACUUGACAUGGAUAAAGAGGACUCUGUGGAGUCUAGUGAUGACAGUGAUAACUUUGCCAACCAAGUAAAGGAGAUGCUGGGUGAUGAAAACAGCCCUCCCAAAGAUAACAACUCACAGCUGGUGGCCAGUUGCCUGCUGGAAUCUGAAGUGGAGGUGAUAAACCAAGCUUUGUUUCAAGAGGCUAGUGCCAAAUCCGUUGGCAAGAUCCCAGAAAUUCAAUAGAUUACUUCAGGGGACACUCAGGUAUUUGAUGUGACCAAUCUGCUCAAUCCAUAUGGCAUGAUGAGGGAGAUGAGGGAAGACCGAAGGGCCAGUGAACGUCUACAACAAGAUAUGAUCAUGAAGUCAACCGUGCAGCAUGACAAGGUGGACAAGGGGAAGCUGCCUAGAGGUAACCCCCUUGUAACCUCCAACUCCUUUUCCUCUCUCAAUGAUGAUGAUAUUAUUGCAAGAACUAUAUCUAUGGGUGUUAAUAUUGAUGUUUCAAAUUU